GUCUACGUCCAUAUCACGUUGAAAGCUACGGUUCUCGUCCGAUCACCGAAUAUAAGCAACGUUGAGCGCGGUUAGUACUUGGAUGGGUGACCGCCUGGGAACCCCGCGUGACGUAGGCAUCA
rnacentral:rRNA from 1 species